GACGAACGCUGGCGGCGUGCUUAACACAUGCAAGUCGAACGAAGAGCGACGGAAGCUUGCUUCUAUCAAUCUUAGUGGCGAACGGGUGAGUAACGCGUAAUCAACCUGCCCUUCAGAGGGGGACAACAGUUGGAAACGACUGCUAAUACCGCAUACGAUCUAACCUCGGCAUCGAGGAUAGAUGAAAGGUGGCCUCUACAUGUAAGCUAUCACUGAAGGAGGGGAUUGCGUCUGAUUAGCUAGUUGGAGGGGUAACGGCCCACCAAGGCGAUGAUCAGUAGCCGGUCUGAGAGGAUGAACGGCCACAUUGGGACUGAGACACGGCCCAGACUCCUACGGGAGGCAGCAGUGGGGAAUCUGCCGCAAUGGACGAAAGUCUGACGGAGCAACGCCGCGUGAGUGAGGACGGCCUUCGGGUUGUAAAGCUCUGUUAAUCGGGACGAAAGGCCUUCUUGCGAAUAGUGAGAAGGAUUGACGGUACCGGAAUAGAAAGCCACGGCUAACUACGUG
rnacentral:rRNA from 1 species